GCUCCCCCACCCCUGACCCCUCCUGUUCCGAGGAGGCGCCGCUCCCCAGCCAGGGCGCGUUCUCCGGGCUGCGGCGGAGCCGCCCGGCCGGGUCUGCGGGCGGCAGCCGGACGCUCUGGCUUCUGUCCCAAGGUCACCCCGCUGAGCGACAGCGGCACAAGCCCGGAGGGGCUGCGGGAGGGGCGGCUCCCGGUCACCCCCCUGCCCCGUCCCGGUGCCUCAUGGCGGAGCUGCCUCCGCUCUGGCCCCGCCGAUGCUGCCCGUGCUCUUCCUCCUCCUCCUCCUCGCCUGUCCCGGGAGCUCGGCGGGCGGGCUGGGGAUCACAGCCCGCACACUUUCUCCAUGCUACUCUGCUGACCUCAGGCCAGCAUCACAGAGACUCGUCUCGGCUGUGGGCUGCACUGUGCUUUUGACAGUACCACCAGUGAACGCCAGCGAAGUUGUCUUCUGGGAAUACAAAACCGUCUCGCAGGAAGGAGUCAUAAUCAAUUAUGCUUUUGAUAGACCUGCCAACGUGUCUCGUCCCUAUGAGAAUCGUACAUGGUUCAAUGAAACGGACUUCUCACUGCAGAUCGUGUUGCAGCAGGGAGAUGACCAGCUGUACCGGUUCAGGUCCGAGUUGGAGGCCACAGACUGGUUCCAGCUGCGCGUUGUCGAACCGCUGUCCGAGCCAGAAAUUGUGGGCAACUCAUCCGUGAAGGAAGGAGGCAACACCAAACUGGUUUGCAACGUCCUGGAAGGGAAGGCAGACUUGUACUGGUGGAAGAAAAAUGGGGAGUUGCUUCUGGGAAGCGACCACAUCCAGUUUGUUGACAAUACCACCCUGUGCAUCAUUAAAGCAUCAAUAAAUGACAGCGGCUACUACGCUUGCGUGGUCCGCAAUGAAGUCAGCCAGAAUGAAACCUCCUUCCUGCUCCAUGUCCAGAAUGCUGCAAACGUGGUGUUGCCCGUGCUCCUGGCAUGCGUUAUCAUGGGCUCGCUCGCAGGUGAGUGCUGGGGCUGACUCUUCACUGGAUUUUUGGCGGGUUGCUGCAUCACUGCUGGAGGUGUCUUCGUCUGGUGCAGGAGAAGGGACCGCCCGUGUCGCAAUGGCUGUAGGUGGAGAUCUUGAGCAGCUGUGCCCUUGCUGCCUUCCCCUGAUGGUGGUGGAUGCUGCCCGGGGAGCGCCAGAUGUUGGAUGCUGUCCCAGCCUCUGAAUUGCUUAAGCUGCCGAAGCCCACAAAUAUUUUUUGUAUAACACCAGCCUGGACUAUUUCUGUGUUGUCCUGCUUGUCCCCAAGGCCCCUUGCACAUCCCUGGGGGAGAAGUGGGCAUGGCUGUGUCUGGAGACCUGGCUGCUGCUGUGCUCCAGACCUCCUCAGGUCUCCAGCCUUCCUCCAGAGCCCAUCUGGGGUAAGUGCUUGUGGAUGGGCUGAUUGCUUUGGAAAAAUGCUCCAUCUCCACUGGACAAACACAGUCCCGGGGCUGCUGGGGAGUGCUGUGGUGACACAGCCCGGUGUGGGAGAUGUAGGGAUGCUCCCGAGCCCAUCUCCUCUGUCCUCCAGCCUUGGGCUCUGACAGGAUCUGGGGACGUGUCCUCCUCUUCUGAGCACUCACCACCCGGGUCCUACGUGUUGUCCUUUGCUUUUGCUGCUCCUGCGGGUGAUGGUAGACUUGGUCUGGUUUGAUAUGGCUGGGGCAGCCCUGUUCCCAGCCCCUGCUCUUGUUGCCUCCCUUCCUCACGCUGCUUCUGCAAAGCUCUUCUGGGCUUUGCUCGUGAAGGGGGUCAUUAUUCAUUCUUAUAGUUGAAAUUACUUAGCUUGAAGGCACAACUUCCAUCUUCAUACUGGAAAGAACUGGAUGCUCUCCCAGGAGCCCUGGACCUCACAAGGUGCUUUUUGCUGAUCAUCAGACCAGGGUAUUUGCACCCAUAUUUCAUUCUGAUGGGUUUAGGCUCAGGCACUGAGCUGGUCCCCAGCACCUCUGUGGGUGCAGCUGUUUUGGGUGUCCUGGUCUAGCUACUGGAUGGUCACUUCUGGUGACCACCAGCAGCUGGUGGCCUGGGGACCUCUCCUUGGCCCAAGCCACAGUCAGCAAAUGGAGAGUGGUACGAGUGGGUGUUUUUAGAGCUUGGGUCUUGCCUGUAGACCUGCAAAGGGCUUUCCUGGCCAGGGGAGCAGUGGGUGUCCCUCUCCUCAGAGUUAUCCCUUCUCUCUGGAGAACAGACAUACAUGUGGGAGAGGCUCAAAUCAUAUCCCACGAUGUGAGCAGUCACCAAGCUGCCCUACAUCUCUUUCUGGGGCAAACAGGGAAAUCACAGGAGAGUGAACUGGCUCAAGUGUCUUGGAUUCUGGCCACUCUGGCGCUGGUCCAUCCCAUGGAGCUCUGUCCUGUGAGAUAACUGGGAUAUAAAAGGGCCAGCAGCAAAGGGCCAUCUAUCAGCCUGGGAUUUCAUGUUGCAAUUAAAGCACUAAAGGAAACAGGGCGGUUUGGGUGCAGUAAACUAGAUUUCAGUGUCAGCUUUAAGCUGCAAUGCAGGUUGUCGAAUUUUCUGUUGCACUUGUAGGUAUAACAUGUCUCAUGUUUUACAAAAAAUACUUUUCUAAACUUUUUGGAGAGUUGUCUGUAAAUCAUUUUGGAGAUGUUGUGGUUUGUUCAUGUCUAUUGCUGCUAAUAAAAGCGCCUGUAUAAUCCCA